AUGGUUGGUGGCCCUGUGCAGAGCCCUGGCCCCGGGACAGGGGGAUCCAGAGAGGAGGGUCCACAGGACUUGAAGGUCUGGGGCCGGCGUGAGCCCAAGGUGACCCCUGGUGGAGAUGACCCUCUGGUGGGCAGUGGGGCCCUUUACAGAGGGGACAAGAGGAGGGGUAGGAAUGGGCCAGGAUCACUGCAAACAGGGACAAUUCUGGGAGGUGUCUGGUUGCUGAAAGUGAGGCUGGGCCCAGGCUGGAGGCCCCGAGGAAGAAAGGUCAGGAGGGGCGGGCUGGACGAGCCAGUGGCAAAUGCCAGGGCAGGUGGGGCAGCAACCACAAGGAGCUUUGCCUCGAGCUGGUGUCCCCAGGAAAAGCAGCCAGGGGCGACAGGAACGCGGACAGCGCUGGGGCGGGGGCGUCCAGCCAGGCUCGGGAGCGCGGCGCGGGCCGAGGGGGUCCGUGUGCGGGGCGGGGCGGGGGGGGCUCUUCGGGGGUCCGGUCGCGGAGCCCUCGGUCCCACGCGGUGGCAGGUCCCCGACCCUCCGACCUCCGAACCCGGCUGGGCCCCCGCGCCCCGCGCCCCGCCGGGUCGCUCCCGGGGUGUGUCCCCGCGGGCUGGGCGCCGAGGCCACCCCAGGCUCCCGCCGAGCAGGGUUCGAGCCUCGCUGCGCGCGGUGGCCUCCGCGGGGCGGCCCGGGCCCGCGACUUCCUCGCGCUCCCCUCGCGCCCCCCUCGCGCCCGGGCGCAGCCGGGUCUCGUUACCGCCCCGCCCCGCCCCCCCCGCGCCCCGGGGGGUCUCUGCGGCCGGGGGAGGGGCGCCUCCUAAUCAAUCCCAGGCCGGAAAUUCCUCCCGAGGGGCCCGGCCGGGCUGCGGGGCCGGGGCCGGGGCGGGGGCGGGGGCGGGGGCGGGGGCGGGCUCGGAGCCUGGCGGGCCGCCCGGCCGCCCCUCCUCCUCCCGAGCCCGCCCCCCGCAUCAUGGAAACUGGGCCGCCGGCCGACCCCCUCGCUCCGCUCCGCAUUCCUGCCGCGGGGGCGGGCGGGGCUCGGGAGCUGGGCGGCCCCGACAGGCCCGCGGCGGGGGCGCCCCGGAGCCUCGCGAUUGGGGGCCGCGGCGCCUCCCCGCUCCGGACGGGGCGCGUCUUCCCGGGGGGUUGCCCGUGACUCUCCGGUGGACGCGCUCAGCGGCCCGCCCCCGCCCCCGCCCCGGGCUCCUGUCACUGGGCGCUCGCGGGGUCCCCGGGGGCUGCCCCCGUGUCGCGUGCCCGCCCGCAACGCUGAUUCUCGCCUCUCCGCGUCUUGCGGGGCGGACCCCACUAAGCCCAUUUUCCAGGUGA
rnacentral:lncRNA from 1 species